UGGCAGAGGCCUGACCCCCCCUGCCUGGCAGAGCCUUUUGCACCACCUCUGUCCUCUUUCUGAAGCCAAAGUGUCAGUGUAGCUUCAGUGACAGCGGCCCCAGCAGAGGUGUUGGGUGGCUCAAACCCUCCCUUAUAAGAUUUCUGGCAUCUCCCGUGAGCCACCAGCUGUGCCAAAAUGUCCUCCUGCCAAGAUGGAGUGCAGCCGGCUCCCGAGGGGGACCUUCUCCACCCGGGAAACUUGAGCCUCUGCAGCCCAGCCCCAGCCCCACUGUGGCCUCAAGAAUCAGAGCUGGAGCUGGUGGCAGCCCAGCAGACGUUACAUGGACAUGUUUAGGGGCAAGAGAGGCAGAGAGCAGGUAUGUGGGAGGGGAGAGGCCUGAGACUGGGUCCCACCCCCAGCGCUUCACUGAACAGCUAUGUGAUCAGCACUGUUCAGCUUUGGCUUAUGGUGGUACAGGGGACUGAACCUGGGUCUUUGAAGCCUCAGGCAUGACAGUCCUUUUAUAUAAGCAUUAUGCUAUCUCCUCUGCCCCAUGACUGUCAUUUUGUUCUUCAGCCUCUCUCAGCUCUCACAGAACAUUCAGGACUCAUUGCACCUACAUUGUGUCUA